GACGAACGCUGGCGGCGUGCUUAACACAUGCAAGUCGAACGGAAAGGCCCUGCUUUUGUUGGGUGCUCGAGUGGCGAACGGGUGAGUAACACGUGAGUAACCUGCCCUUGACUUUGGGAUAACUUCAGGAAACUGGGGCUAAUACCGGAUAGGAGCUCCUGCUGCAUGGUGGGGGAUGGAAAGUUUCGGCGGUUGGGGCUGUACUAGCUGCUUAUCAGCUUGUUGGUGGGGUAGUGGCUUUCCAAGGCUUUGACGGGUACGCGGCCUGGGAGGGUGACCGGCCACAUUGGGACUGCGAUACGGACCAGACUCGUACGGGAGGCAGCAGUGGGGAAUAUUGCACAAUGGGCGGAAGCCAGAUGCAGCAACGCCGCGUGCGGGAUGACGGCCUUCGGGUUGUAAACCGCUUUCGCAUGUGACGAAGCGUGAGUGACGGUAAUGGGUAAAGAAGCACCGGCUAACUACGUG
rnacentral:rRNA from 1 species